ACUGCAAGUCGAGCGAAUGGAUUAAGAGCUUGCUCUUAUGAAGUUAGCGGCGGACGGGUGAGUAACACGUGGGUAACCUGCCCAUAAGACUGGGAUAACUCCGGGAAACCGGGGCUAAUACCGGAUAACAUUUUGAACUGCAUGGUUCGAAAUUGAAAGGCGGCUUCGGCUGUCACUUAUGGAUGGACCCGCGUCGCAUUAGCUAGUUGGUGAGGUAACGGCUCACCAAGGCAACGAUGCGUAGCCGACCUGAGAGGGUGAUCGGCCACACUGGGACUGAGACACGGCCCAGACUCCUACGGGAGGCAGCAGUAGGGAAUCUUCCGCAAUGGACGAAAGUCUGACGGAGCAACGCCGCGUGAGUGAUGAAGGCUUUCGGGUCGUAAAACUCUGUUGUUAGGGAAGAACAAGUGCUAGUUGAAUAAGCUGGCACCUUGACGGUACCUAACC
rnacentral:rRNA from 1 species